ACCUGACGCAGCGACGCCGCGUGGGUGAUGAAGGCCUUCGGGUUGUAAAGCUCUGUGGAGGGGGACGAAUAAGGGUUGGCUAACAUCCAGCUCGAUGACGGUACCCCUUUAGCAAGCACCGGCUAACUCUGUGCCAGCAGCCGCGGUAAGACAGAGGGUGCAAACGUUGUUCGGAAUUACUGGGCGUAAAGCGCGUGUAGGCGGUUCGUAAAGUCAGGUGUGAAAGCCCUGGGCUUAACCCAGGAAGUGCACUUGAAACUCACGAACUUGAGUCCCGGAGAGGAAGGCGGAAUUCUCGGUGUAGAGGUGAAAUUCGUAGAUAUCGAGAGGAACAUCGGUGGCGAAGGCGGCCUUCUGGACGGUGACUGACGCUGAGACGCGAAAGCGUGGGGAGCAAACAGGAUUAGAUACCCUGGUAGUCCACGCCGUAAACGAUGGGUGCUAGGUGUCGCGGGCUUUGACCCCUGCGGUGCCGUAGCUAACGCAUUAAGCACCCCGCCUGGGGAGUACGGCCGCAAGGCUA
rnacentral:rRNA from 1 species